rnacentral:rRNA from 1 species
UACGUAGGGUGCAAGCGUUAAUCGGAAUUACUGGGCGUAAAGCGUGCGCAGGCGGUUUGGUAAGACAGAUGUGAAAUCCCCGGGCUUAACCUGGGAAUUGCAUUUGUGACUGCCCGGCUAGAGUGUGUCAGAGGGGGGUAGAAUUCCACGUGUAGCAGUGAAAUGCGUAGAUAUGUGGAGGAAUACCGAUGGCGAAGGCAGCCCCCUGGGAUAACACUGACGCUCAUGCGCGACAGCGUGGGGAGCAAACAGG